AUAAAUGUUACGGGUUAAUGAUGUAUGUUCCUCAGCUCAGUAUCUUUCAGUCUAGAAGCAUCAAGAUGAUCUCACAAAUCCAACUUCUCUGCCUCUCUGUGCUCUGGAUUCAGGGAUCCAGAGGGGACAUCCUUGUGACUCAGACUCCAGAAUUCCUCUCAGUGUCACUAGGAGACACUGUCACUAUCAACUGCAAAGCCAGUUCCAGUGCUAGCAGCUACAUGGCUUUGCACCAGCAGAAACAAGGACAAGCUCCUAAACUUCUCAUCUACAGCACUAACACUCGACCCUCUGGGAUCCCAGACCGGUUCAGUGGCAGUGGGUCUGGCACUGACUUCACUUUUAAAAUCAGCCGGGUUGAAGCUGAUGAUGCUGGAGAUUAUUAUUGUCAGCAGCAUAACAGCAUCCCUCUCACACAGUGA